CCUACGGGAGGCAGCAGUGGGGAAUUUUGGACAAUGGGGGCAACCCUGAUCCAGCCAUGCCGCGUGAGUGAAGAAGGCCUUCGGGUUGUAAAGCUCUUUCGGCCGGAACGAAAUCGCGCACGUGAAUAACGUGCGUGGAUGACGGUACCGGAGUAAGAAGCACCGGCUAACUACGUGCCAGCAGCCGCGGUAAUACGUAGGGUGCGAGCGUUAAUCGGAAUUACUGGGCGUAAAGCGUGCGCAGGCGGUUCGCUAAGUCAGACGUGAAAGCCCCGGGCUUAACCUGGGAACGGCGUUUGAAACUGGCGGGCUCGAGUACGGCAGAGGGGGGUGGAAUUCCACGUGUAGCAGUGAAAUGCGUAGAUAUGUGGAGGAACACCGAUGGCGAAGGCAGCCCCCUGGGCCGAUACUGACGCUCAUGCACGAAAGCGUGGGGAGCAAACAGGAUUAGAUACCCUGGUAGUCCACGCCCUAAACUAUGUACAACUAGUUGUCGGGGAAGCAAUUCCUAGGUAACGCGGCUAACGCGUGAAGUUCGACCGCCGUCGGGUAGGUACGGUCGCGAAGAAGUUAAACUACGAAGGAAGUUAGUACGGCGUGAGACGUGCCGACGGACGACGACGAGGGAGGUAGG
rnacentral:rRNA from 1 species